rnacentral:misc_RNA from 1 species
GAUGAAGAACGUAGCGAAAUGCGAUAAGUAAUGUGAAUUGCAGAAUUCAGUGAAUCAUCGAAUCUUUGAACGCACCUUGCGCUCCUUGGUAUUCCAAAGAGCAUGCCUGUUUGAGUAUCAUUAAAUUAUCAACUGUACCAAUUUGGUUGCAGAUUGGAUGUGGGAGAUUUUGCAGGCUUUUGAUUUCUCUUUGAGAAAACGGUCAGCUCUCCUGAAAUAUAUUAGCAGUGCCUUUGUUGGUUCAUUAGGUGGGAUAAUUUAUCUACAUCUUCACAUGGUACCUUCAUUUGUGUAAAGGUCAUAUUGCUUCUAAUUGUCUUUGGACAUAAAAAAAAAAAAACAUAUAAUUGUAUGGAAAACUUGAUCUCAAAUCAGGCAGGACUACCCGCUGAACUUAAGCAUAUCAAUAAGCGGAGGA